rnacentral:rRNA from 1 species
UUGCUACUUCGGCGUCGAGCGGCGGACGGGUGAGUAAUGCAUAGGAAGUUGCCCAGUAGAGGGGGAUAACCAUUGGAAACGAUGGCUAAUACCGCAUAACCUCUUCGGAGCAAAGCGGGGGACCUUCGGGCCUCGCGCUACUGGAUACGCCUAUGUGGGAUUAGCUAGUUGGUGAGGUAAUGGCUCACCAAGGCGACGAUCCCUAGCUGGUCUGAGAGGAUGAUCAGCCACACUGGGACUGAGACACGGCCCAGACUCCUACGGGAGGCAGCAGUGGGGAAUAUUGCACAAUGGGCGAAAGCCUGAUGCAGCCAUGCCGCGUGUAUGAAGAAGGCCUUCGGGUUGUAAAGUACUUUCAGUUGUGAGGAAGGAUGUGUAGUUAAUAACUGCGCAUUUUGACGUUAGCAACAGAAGAAGCACCGGCUAACUCCGUGCCAGCAGCCGCGGUAAU